rnacentral:rRNA from 1 species
CCUUACGGCCAGGGCUACACACGUGCUACAAUGGCGCGUACAGAGGGCUGCAAGCUAGCGAUAGUGAGCGAAUCCCAAAAAGCGCGUCGUAGUCCGGAUUGGAGUCUGCAACUCGACUCCAUGAAGUCGGAAUCGCUAGUAAUCGCGAAUCAGAAUGUCGCGGUGAAUACGUUCCCGGGCCUUGUACACACCGCCCGUCACACCAUGGGAGUGGGUUGCACCAGAAGUAGAUAGCUUAACCUUCGGGAGGGCGUUUACCACGGUGUGAUUCAUGACUGGGGUGAAGUCGUAACAAGGUAACCCUA